UUUCUUAGGCUAUGUCUACACUACUGCGGUAAAUUGACCUACGCUACACAACUCCAGCUAUGUGAAUAACGUAGCAGGAGUUGACGUACCUUAAGUCGAGUUACUGCGGGGGCUGCACUGAGGGAGG